rnacentral:tmRNA from 1 species
GGGGGCGACCGGCUUCGACGGGACGGACCGAAACUCAGGAAGCAUACCGAGGCCUACUACUCGUUAACCAGGUAGAAAACUAUAGUCGCAGACGACUAUAACUACGCACUAGCCGCUUAAUCACGGCUAGCGUCCUGUGGGACCACUCCUGCGGGUUUUACGGGACGACUACUAGCAGGAUAGCCUAAGGGGCUCUGUCCGAAGUACCCUCAUGGCGAAAAUCAACCGGACUGGCGCUCUUGUAGUUUGUCUGUGGGAUGCAAGAGGGCGAGAAAACUUCCAUAGACUAAGUAUGUAGAUGCCUGAAUGUAGGCGUUUCCGGACGUGGGUUCGAUUCCCACCGCCUCCACCA